rnacentral:tRNA from 1 species
GAGGGUAUAGCUCAAGUGGUAGAGCACAUGCUUAGCAUGCGCAAGGUCCUAGGUUCAAUUCCCAGUACCUCCU